UGGGGAAUUUUGGACAAUGGGCGAAAGCCUGAUCCAGCAAUGCCGCGUGUGUGAAGAAGGCCUUCGGGUUGUAAAGCACUUUUGUCCGGAAAGAAAUCCUUGGCUCUAAUACAGUCGGGGGAUGACGGUACCGGAAGAAUAAGCACCGGCUAACUACGUGCCAGCAGCCGCGGUAAUACGUAGGGUGCAAGCGUUAAUCGGAAUUACUGGGCGUAAAGCGUGCGCAGGCGGUUUGCUAAGACCGAUGUGAAAUCCCCGGGCUCAACCUGGGAACUGCAUUGGUGACUGGCAGGCUAGAGUAUGGCAGAGGGGGGUAGAAUUCCACGUGUAGCAGUGAAAUGCGUAGAGAUGUGGAGGAAUACCGAUGGCGAAGGCAGCCCCCUGGGCCAAUACUGACGCUCAUGCACGAAAGCGUGGGGAGCAAACAGGAUUAGAUACCCUGGUAGUCCACGCCCUAAACGAUGUCAACUAGUUGUUGGGGAUUCAUUUCCUUAGUAACGUAGCUAACGCGUGAAGUUGACCGUCUGGGGAGUACGGUCGCAAGAUUAAAACUUAAAGGAAUUG
rnacentral:rRNA from 1 species